rnacentral:rRNA from 1 species
GAACGAACGCUGGCGGCAGGCCUAACACAUGCAAGUCGAGCGCGCCCUUCGGGGUGAGCGGCGGACGGGUGAGUAACGCGUGGGAACGUGCCCUUCUCUGCGGAAUAGCCUCGGGAAACUGAGAGUAAUACCGCAUACGCCCUUUGGGGGAAAGAUUUAUCGGAGAAGGAUCGGCCCGCGUUGGAUUAGGUAGUUGGUGGGGUAAUGGCCCACCAAGCCGACGAUCCAUAGCUGGUUUGAGAGGAUGAUCAGCCACACUGGGACUGAGACACGGCCCAGACUCCUACGGGAGGCAGCAGUGGGGAAUCUUAGACAAUGGGGGCAACCCUGAUCUAGCCAUGCCGCGUGAGUGAUGAAGGCCUUAGGGUUGUAAAGCUCUUUCAGCUGGGAAGAUAAUGACGGUACCAGCAGAAGAAGCCCCGGCUAACUCCGUG